CUUCCGAGUGCAUCCCCAAUGCCUUCUCCUUCAGGAAGCCUUAUCUUUGAUCUCCCAUCCAGAGAUUGAUAUUUCUUCCAAUGUAGAAGCCAUGGCAUCGAAAAAAAAUAGGUAUUUAUUUUUUAAAGUUGGCUUUAAAACAAAAAGAAAUUUUGAUGUGGUCAUCAGAUUUGGUAAUUAAA
rnacentral:lncRNA from 1 species